rnacentral:miRNA from 1 species
AAGCCAAUUCAACGUCAAACUA